ACAUGGGGGCACCCUGACCGCAAUGCCGCGUGAGUGAAGAAGGCCUUCGGGUUGUAAAGCUCUUUUGUCAGGGAAGAAACAGCAGCUCUAACACAGCUGUGAAUGACGGUACCUGAAGAAUAAGCACCGGCUAACUACGUGCCAGCAGCCGCGGUAAUACGUAGGGUGCAAGCGUUAAUCGGAAUUACUGGGCGUAAAGCGUGCGCAGGCGGUUAUACAAGACAGGCGUGAAAUCCCCGGGCUUAACCUGGGAAUUGCGUCUGUGACUGUAUGGCUAGAGUGUGUCAGAGGGGGGUAGAAUUCCACGUGUAGCAGUGAAAUGCGUAGAUAUGUGGAGGAAUACCAAUGGCGAAGGCAGCCCCCUGGGAUAACACUGACGCUCAUGCACGAAA
rnacentral:rRNA from 1 species